UUCACCCACCUGUAGUCCCAAUCAUUCAAUUAAGACACACCCCCUGUGAAAUCAUGACCAAAAGGUCAUACAUGUGCUUUCUGCUGUAUUGAACACCGUUGAAGACCUAUAUACUGUACAGGUCAAAACUGGUCCUUUUGUGGUUUUGUUUUACCACAUUCUCCUACAUAUGCAAGUGUGUGUGUGCAAACUACUCUAAUCCACUGAAGUCAAACUCACCACAGCUGCUGUUUGUUCUCUGCAAAUGAGGAAACAUUUUAGAGCUAUUUUUCAAGCCCAUGGGAGACAUGAUUGACGGCUUGCACGGCCCUACACUCCUCUGCAGCAAUGCAGCGUGGGAAGCGGCAGAGAAUCUUCAAUAACAGGUAUGCAAAGGAGAUGGCUUUCUGUAAUGGUAGACAGAGCAUAAGAUCCAACUGAACAAAUGAAUCCAG